rnacentral:rRNA from 1 species
UACAGAGGUCUCAACCGUUGUUCGGAUUCAUUGGGCGUAAAGGGUGCGUAGGCGGCGGAGUAAGUCAGGUGUGAAAUCUCGGGGCUCAACCCCGAAACUGCACUUGAUACUGCUUCGCUCGAGUACUGGAGAGGAGAUUGGAAUUUACGGUGUAGCAGUGAAAUGCGUAGAUAUCGUAAGGAAGACCAGUGGCGAAGGCGAAUCUCUGGACAGUUACUGACACUGAGGCACGAAGGCCAGGGGAGCAAACGGG